rnacentral:rRNA from 1 species
CCCUUAGAUGUUCUGGGCCGCACGCGCGCUACACUGAUGCAUUCAACGAGUCUAAAACCUGCUCUGAUAGGGGUGGGUAAUCUUUUGAAUGUGCAUCGUGAUUGGGAUAGAUGAUUGCAAUUUUUCAUCUUCAACGAGGAAUGCCUAGUAAACGCAAGUCAUCAGCUUGCAUUGAUUACGUCCCUGCCCUUUGUACACACCGCCCGUCGCUCCUACCGAUUGAAUGAUCCGAUGAAUAUCGUGGAUUGAGGAUUAUAGCAGGUUCGCCUGUCUUGAUCUUCGAGAAGUGAAGUAAAUCUUAUCAUUUAGAGGAAGGAGAAGUCGUAACA